AAGCAUUUAAUAAAAAAAAUGCAAAACACAAACGAAAAACUGGUACGGAAAUCGGGUCAGGGAAACAAAGAGCAGUGAGUGGGAAGACGAAGAGAAGGAGAAAGCAAAAGAAAAAAAAAGGACAAAACGCAAAUUCUUGUCUCCCUCCGUUUCUCACCCCCCCUUUUUUUUUUUUUCAAAUUAAAAAAUAAGCAAAAAUUAAUUUCUCUAUAUUUUUGCUCAUAAUUAUUUGACAAUUGAGUCCUCGCCCUCCAUUUUUUUUUUCCUUCUUGUUAGUUUCCUUUUAUGUCUCCUCAUAUCUAAACUUUCUCAGAAAUUUAGGGGCGAAAUCGACUAAGCAAAUCAGCGGCGAAAUUAGAAAAAACCACCGGUCUGGUACAAAGAAUCCCAAUUGAAAUGGAUGAUUUUCCAGGUUUAUUAGCCAAAGAUUUUGGGAUCAAAUCCCAAGGCAAGUCGGCCCCGAUGGCACCCCCUAGAAACCCUUCUUCGGGUCCGAAUUACGGGUUCCGAUCCGAUUUUACCCGAUCUUCAUCCGGCAAUGCCAAAUCAUCAUCCAAUUCCAUUUUCGACGAUCAGGAUCGUGACGGACUCAUGUUUAACGACUUCCACAGUGGACCUCCCAAAUACUCCUCCGAGUCUCGGGCCACAACCGCGCAAACAUCGUCGUUCGAUUACGAUUCCUUUUUCAAGGACUCGAAGCCACCGGUUUUUGACAAGCCUGUUUACGAUGACGAUAUUUUCGAUGGAUUGCCUGGGAUCAAGAGCUCUUCCGCGGCAUCGGCCUCUAAGUACGAUGACGUUUUUACGAUCUCGGGGUCUCCGCCUCAUCCGAAGCAUAAGUCGCUGAACAGCUCACCUUUUGAUGAUCUGCUUGGGAAUCUAGGGAGGAAAGAGGUCGAGACGAAGACGAAGAGUGAGAGAGUGAGAGUGGAGGAAGAUGCACCUCUUUUUGAUGAUUUAUUUCCUGGUUUCGGUCGGAGUAGCUCUCCUGCAACUGCCAGGUCAACUUCAGAGGCUGGCCAGUCUCAGAAACCAGCUUCAAAAUCAAGCAAAACUGGCUUAAAUUUGAUGAAGGACCCUUUUGUUGUCUUUGAAUCAACAUCCGAGCCGGCGGAUUCAACCUCAGGGUUGUUUCCAGGCCCCCUGGAAGAAAUAAGUAAACUUAAUGGAUCUGGGAAUUCAAGAGUGGAAAGUUCAUCUGGAAGUGGGGGAGUAUUUGAUGAUAUAGAUCCUCUUGAUGGUCUUGGAAAAUCUGCACCUUCUGUGUCAUUUGAGAUCAAUAAAAGAGGGAAGGAUAGGAGCCCUUUAAGAAGUGCAAAUGGACUACAAAUUCCUGCCAAUAAAGAGCCAAAUGAUGAAGACCAGGAGCACUAUACAAAGAAGAGGAUGCCUUCUAUGGACAAUUUUCAGGAAUCUCAUCAAUCUGUGUUUGACAUGCCCAGUAUGUCAACUGAUUUUCAUAGCUCUGUUGGCCGAACUACCAGCCCGCCUCCUUACUCAAAUGUUGGUUAUAAUGAGACUAGUUCCCAGGUAAAUACAACUCCAAGAUCUGAGAACUGUGACACAUUUGAUAAUGUGUGGCUCACCGUAUCAGAGAUUCCUCUUUUUACCCAACCUACCAGUGCUCCACCCCCUUCAAGACCCCCGCCUCCAAGACCACCACGAGUUUCAAAGUUAGUGACAGGCUCAUUUUCUUCCACAAGUGCAAAAAAGAAGGUUGAUGAAUUUUCUUCCUUCCCAAAUUCAACUCAGUACUCACACAGCUCUCAGUCAGCUCAUGCUGCAGCAAGCAGCUCUGUUACAUCCCAAAUUGAUGAACUUGAAGAUUUUGCAAUGGGUAGGGCGUGGAAUAAUGUCGAACAGGCCAAAGUUUUUCCUGGUGAUGAUUUUGAGACCAACACAGUUGCUGCUGCAUCUGCUGCUGCCAUGAAAGAAGCAAUGGAUAGAGCAGAGGCUAAAUUUAGGCAUGCUAAGGAAAUGAGGGAGAGAGAGAAUUUGAAGGCUGCUAGAAAUAAAGAAGCUGGUCAAAUGGAUAAAGAUGAGAGAGCUAUGCAAGAUGCUUUGGAUAGAGAAGUUAGAGAAAAGCAAGAGAGACUGGAGCGUGAGAGGCAACAAAGGGAAAUGGAGGAGGAAGAGAAAGAGCAAAGGAGACGUGAAUUGGAGAGGGAAAGGGAGGAGAAGGAGAGAGAACAAAGAAGACUUGAGAAAGAGAGGGAGCGAGCUAGGGAGAUGGAGAGGGAAAGGGAGAGGGCCAGACAAGCUGUUGAAAGGGCUACUAGAGAAGCACGUGAAAGAGCUGCUGCUGAAGCUCGUGCUAGAGCUGAAAGGGCUGCAGUGCUGAGAGUACAAGCAGAAGCUCGUGAAAGGGCAGCAGCUGAGGCAAGAGAAAGAGCAGAAAGAGCUGCUGCAGAAGCGAGAGAAAGGGAAGCACGGGAGAGGACUGCAACAGCAAAAGUUGAAGCUGGAGCCAGGCUUAGAGCAGAAAGAGCUACUGUGGAGAGGGCUGCUGCAGAGGCUCGAGAAAGAGCUGCUGCUCCUGCAAGGGCAAGCCAGCAAAGGAAUGACAAUGAUAGUGAAUCCUUUUUUAAUAUGGGUUCUCGACCCAGCAGUGUACCAAGACCAAGAGCUAACUCUUCGGAUCCCCUGUUUAAUGGACAAAACAAGGGAGGGCCUGAAGUAGCUAGAACAUCUGUUGGAGCCUCAUCUAGCAUGAGGAAAGCUUCUUCAACUGCAAAUAUUGUUGAUGAUCUCAGUUCUAUUUUUGGAGCUGCUGCAUCAUCAUCUGGAGAGUUCCAAGAUAUUGAAGGGGAAACUGAAGAAAGGCGAAGAGCCAGGUUGGAGCGCCUCCAAAGAACUCAGGAGCGUGCAGCAAAGGCAUUGGCUGAGAAAAAUCAACGUGACCUUCAAGUGCAAAGGGAACAAGCUGAGAGACAUAGAAUCGCUGAAACUCUAGAUGUUGAGAUCAAGAGAUGGGCUGCUGGGAAAGAGGGAAAUUUGCGUGCUCUGCUGUCAACACUGCAAUAUGUUCUUUGGCCUGAAUGUGGUUGGCAGCCUGUUUCUUUGACGGAAUUGAUUACAGCUGCAGCUGUUAAAAAGGCUUACAGAAAGGCAACUCUUUGCAUCCAUCCAGAUAAAGUCCAGCAAAAAGGUGCCAAUCUUCAACAGAAAUAUAUUGCAGAGAAGGUGUUUGACUUGCUCAAGGAAGCCUGGAACAAGCUCAAUUCAGAGGAGCUUUUCUGAGUUUCGAUUCGUUGACUAUGUAGCCAAAAAAUUCAUCAUUUGGCAAACUAUGCCUUGGAGUUGAAUGCGUGACUGUUUCUGCAGCCGCAAUUCUCAUAUCUGCUGCUGUUGUCUGCUUUGGUUUGCUGAUUCAUUACAUCAGCUGUUAAAGCAUGGCAUAUGAGUGCUGCUUCAAAGGCUCAUAAGUGUAGAUUAGCUAAAUCCAUCAGCGAAAUUUCUAUCUAGUAUCGAGGAUUAUUCCACCUAGAGCCGGUCUGGAUUGCUGGGGUUUGAGCCACUGGCCAUCUUGUGGUUCACUCAUAGGCUACCUGGGAGGUCCCAUAGUUCUUUACAUCUAUUCUAAGGCAAUUGUCACGGGCAGGACUUCAGCUACAGGUUUGUACGGCGUCUGGGCCUGAGAACGGACACAACAGAACCUAAGUAAUACAAGUCUUACUCUUGCCUUCUAUCUCAUUCUCUCUAGCCUUUCCUUAAGCACCUGGUGUGCAGGGUUGUUAGCAGCAGCUUUGAUGACUAGUCUUGGAGUAUUGAGUGCCUGAGCACUAAGCCAAAUGGUAGGCUGAUUUUGGACGCUGGAUGAGUUCAUUCUUGGAUCCAAGAGCCACGCAAACUUAGAGUUUAAGUCUCAUCUUGUGACACAAGGAUCAGGGAACCCAAUAACACCACUAAUCAGGAACCUAAAUCUUAUAUUCACAGUUCAAGUUAACCCCGAUAAGCAGCAAAGCGGGAGCUUUUGCCAUAACCCAUGUCCAAAAGCAAUAAAGAUGUGGGCAUUUUGGAACCCAAGAGAACCCUGUGAUCAUUGAUCAAGAGAUUGGGCACCAGGAAACUGCAUUUUCAAAAGCAAACGAAUAUGUUUAAUAUGGCUCGAGUUUUCUGCUUUUCGGAAUUUGAAUUAAGUUAGAGUAAUCAAUUUGAAGGCUACGAAAAUGAAGAGGAAAUCGUCACUUCAACUUC